rnacentral:rRNA from 1 species
UACAGGGGGGGCAAGCGUUGUUCGGAAUUACUGGGCGUAAAGGGUCAGUAGGCGGCCAACUAAGUCCGACGUGAAAUCCCAAGGCUUAACUUUGGAACUGCGUCGGAUACUGGAUGGCUUGAAUUCGGGAGAGGGAUGCAGAAUUCCAGGUGUAGCGGUGAAAUGCGUAGAUAUCUGGAGGAACACCGGUGGCGAAGGCGGGCAUCCUGGACCAAUUCUGACGCUGAGGAGCGAAAGCCAGGGGAGCAAACGGGG